AGUCUGAGUAGCUGGGGGAUUUGAGCUGAUAAGUCAGCCUGGAUAUAGAGAAAAUGAUCCAGUCCUUGAAAAAUCAACACCAUUUUGGAAAUGCUGGGAUUCGAAACUUAUGCUGAACUGGGAAAGAACUUUUGAAAGAGCUAGACAGAGAAGAUCACUUAAGCUCCAAAAAUGUUGAGAGGAGAGAGAAGUUCACGUGUUGUCCCGCUGAGAGAUAGAUGAGAGAGAGAGAAAGAAAAGGGAAGAUAUCCAAGUGGUUUCUAGCAUAGCAAAGGCAAUCAUCCAAACAGUGCAAACCAGAUGGCAUUAUGAAUGGACAACACAUUAGUAAUAGCUGUGCACAGAAGAGGAGUAAUUUUGAACAGAAUGAACAACAUUGCUGGGGGGAAAAUUGCAGCCACAGUCCAUGGAACACAAUAGGAAAGUACCAAGGCACACCUGGCAAGUCAAAAUAAAGAAUAAUUACAUCUUAAA